rnacentral:rRNA from 1 species
GCGGAGGAAAAGAAACCAACAGGGAUUGCCUUAGUAACGGCGAGUGAAGCGGCAACAGCUCAAAUUUGAAAUCUGGUCCCCUUUGGGGGCCCGAGUUGUAAUUUGAAGAGGAUGCUUUUGGCGAGGCGCCGUCCGAGUUCCCUGGAACGGGACGCCGCAGAGGGUGAGAGCCCCGUACGGUCGGACGCCGAGCCUCUGUAAAGCUCCUUCGACGAGUCGAGUAGUUUGGGAAUGCUGCUCAAAAUGGGAGGUAAACCCCUUCUAAAGCUAAAUACUGGCCAGAGACCGAUAGCGCACAAGUAGAGUGAUCGAAAGAUGAAAAGCACUUUGAAAAGAGAGUUAAAAAGCACGUGAAAUUGUUAAAAGGGAAGCGCUUGCGACCAGACUUGCGCCCGUCGGAUCAACCGUCGCUUGCGGCGGCGCACUCCGGCGGGCUCAGGCCAGCAUCAGUUCGUCCGGGGGGAGAAAGGCGGCGGGAAUGUGGCUCUUCGGAGUGUUAUAGCCCGCCGUGUAAUACCCUCGGG